rnacentral:rRNA from 1 species
UACAGAGGUCCCGAGCGUUGUUCGGAUUCACUGGGCGUAAAGGGUGCGUAGGUGGUGAGGAAAGUCGGAUGUGAAAUCUCCGGGCUUAACCCGGAAAUGGCAUUGGAAACUACCUUGCUAGAGGUUUUGAGGGGGGGGGACUGGAAUUCUCGGUGUAGCAGUGAAAUGCGUAGAUAUCGAGAGGAACACCGGUGGCGAAGGCGAGUCCCUGGAAAACACCUGACACUGAGGCACGAAAGCUAGGGGAGCAAACAGG